AUGUCUUCCUCCACCUCCUCCUUCCAGCCAACCCUCAGCGGAGGAGUCACGGAGAAACUCUCCCGCACCAACUACAUCCUGUGGCAGACACAGAUCACGCCGCAACUGCGGGGCGCCGGCGUCUUCCACUACGUCGACGGCACGUCGACCGAGCCGGCCAAAACCCACGUCACCAAAGAUCCUGGGAAGGAAACCGAGGGGCCGAAUCCUCUCCAUCCGCUCUGGGUGAAGGAGGAUCAGCAGGUCCUUGGAUAUCUACUCCAACACCUCUCCAAGGAGGUGCUCGUCACGGUGACUGCGAUCACCACGGCGCGGGAACUCUAGGUGGCGCUGGCGAGCAUGUUCUCGUCGCAGUCACUCAGCCGCGUCAACAACAUCCGCACGGCGCUGAUCAACGCGCAGAAGGGCAACCAAUCGGUGUCCUCCUUCGCCGCCAUGAGGGGGCUCGCUGAUGAGCUCGCCGCGACGGGAAAACCAAUCUAG
rnacentral:rRNA from 1 species